UACGGAGGGUGCGAACGUUAAUCGGAAUCACUGGGCGUAAAGCGCACGUAGGCGGCUUUCUAAGUCAGGGGUGAAAUCCUGGAGCUCAACUCCAGAACUGCCUUUGAUAUUGGAGAGCUAGAGUCCGGAAGAGGUGAGUGGAACUGCGAGUGUAGAGGUGAAAUUCGUAGAUAUUCGCAAGAACACCAGUGGCGAAGGCGGCUCACUGGUCCGGUACUGACGCUGAGGUGCGAAAGCGUGGGGAGCAAACAGG
rnacentral:rRNA from 1 species